ACGACUGCUAAUACCGCAUAAGACCACAGUACCGCAUGGUACAGUGAUCAAAGGAUUUAUUCGCUGAAGGAUGGCUUCGCGUCCGAUUAGGUAGUUGGUGAGGUAACGGCCCACCAAGCCUACGAUCGGUAGCCGGACUGAGAGGUUGAUCGGCCACAUUGGGACUGAGACACGGCCCAGACUCCUACGGGAGGCAGCAUG
rnacentral:rRNA from 1 species